UUACCUUAUCGUCUGUGUAAGGUCAGCAGUUGACUAUUGGGGACGCUUUUCUGUCAUUUAGUAUCAGUAAAAUAUACCAGAUCUGGUCCGAGCAUUGGUAUACAAUGGACAAAUUCCUAGUAGUUUUGCUGUCAUUGUCUCUUCUGAUUGGAUUGGCGGUUUCCUCAACUGUAGAUGAUAAGUUGAAGGAGGACUUUGAUGUGAAGACGACCGUACACUCGAAGUUUGGAUGGUGUAUGCCAGCUAGGUUCGGCAGAUGUAUCAGCAAUGAGUGUGAUCACCAAGGGGAUGAAUGCUGCUGCCCUCCUCUCUUCCCCGGGAAGUAAUCUAGGACUAGUGGGCAAACUCCAACUUUCAAAAUAAACAUGUGAUGUUUGAAAAAACGUACAGUAUAUCAAUGCAUA